rnacentral:pre_miRNA from 1 species
CAGCGAGGACGAGGACGGGAACAGGACAUCUUUCAUCUUUCAUGAAAGAUGUCCUGUUCCCGUCCUCGUCCUCGCUGUUU